GAAAAAAAAAUGUUUUUAGUGGACGACUAUAGAGUGAAAAAAAGUGAUUUACACUUUUACCACACUUACCGUUCAGCUGGUGGCGUAUUGAAUGCUUAUCAGAGUAAAUAUUAGUGAAAAAUUGCAUCGCGUGCAUUUCUUGAAAGGUUUACAUUGGCAAAAACGAGAGAAUUUGUGACUAGUGUUACAUUAUUUUGGCGAUCUGAAGAAGUGAAUGCGUUGCAGAGUCAACACUCUUUGAAAUCACCUGCAAACCCAAGAAGUUUCAGUAACUUAGCGAUGACAGUUAUACAUGACUCAAAGAUAAAACCUAAGCGAUCCUUGGAAUAAGGAUGCAUUGGACCACAUUGAGUGUGACAGUUUCAAGUUAUGCAGCAAAUAACUGGUUGGUUACAAGACGUGUUGUGCUGGAUCAAGUGAAUUAUGUUAAAGCAUGUAAUUUGAAUACUCUUAUCCUUUGAUUCAUUAGUUUUGUAUGAAAUUAUCAAGAUUAUUACAGUUUCAUCAUCCCUGUAUUUGGAUGUGAGAUUAUUUCUCUGUAAAUGAGGAGACUGCUUAAAUGUUUUUUCUGUUGUAGUAUUUUAUGAACUAUGCACUAUUCUUGUAAGGUGUACUUGAGUCAGAGGAAGGAUUGAAUGUCAACAGAUACGCACAAGAAAAUUCUUAUCAGCAAUUUUUGGACAUAUCUCAUAGUACUGUUCUAGGUGCUCCGUACACAUGUGAUGGUUGUGGUAGAGUAUACAGUCACUGUAGGAGCCUCUGGAGUCACAUUAGACAUGAAUGUGGGAAAGAACCUCAAUUUCCAUGCCCUUAUUGCCCACUACGGUCCACAAAGAAGAAUAAUUUGCGUGUACAUGUGAGAAGGAAGCACAAGGGCUAUGUAGUCCCUUAAUUAAUUAAUUAAUUAAUUAAAUAUGCUCUUAAUAUCACAUCACAACAGUGAAUCGUGAAUCUCCUUCUGUUAUUCAGCUGAUCCCAUGGAAGUUGAAUAUGUGAUUUAUUAAUUUAGCAGUAUAUUUUGAACUUAUUUUGUAUCUUGUAAUUGACACGUUUAGUAUCAGAGUACUGAAAGGAUAACCACAAAAGCAGAGACAUUUCAUUUGGUUUUGAAGGCGAGAACUCGAACGUGGAAGGAGAGAGAUUUGCUUUGAUAUGUUAUAGCAAAAGAUGAUUUGUGUUUGCUUGUAGACAUACGUGUUGUUUUCAUCCCCAGCAAAAUUAUUUGUGUUUUACUAUGUGAAACGGUGUAACUAGUUGCAGCUCUUAAAGAGAAAGUAAGAUUUUCAGUCGACAAACUAACAAUUAGAAGACUGUGAUAGAAUUUACCAGACUAAACAAAACUGUUUAUACAUGUCUCAGAGGGGAUGUCGUAAGGCACAAUGAAAAUUAGAUGGGAGAUAUACUUUUAUUUAUAUAUUUAUUUAUAUUUAUUUGCCCAAGAAUAAUCUCACAAUGAUAUAGGAAUUGUCAAACAAUGAGUACAUAAAUAUGCUUUAUGAAGAUAGGACAGGUGGCUGGCAUUAAAAACCUAAGAUCAUUAAGAAAACAGAGCAGAAACUUAUGUUGGCUGGACAUAACAUUUCAUUUCAUGUCACAGUGCAUACUAAAUAGAUAAAAAUGUACAAACAUUGAAAGAUUUCUUUAAAUGAUUGUAUAGUUCAAGAAAUAAAAAAGGGCUCAGUUGCAAUUCCAAGCAGUCAGCAUACACUGAGGUGACAAAAGAUAUGGGACAGCGAUAUCCACGUAUAGAGAUGGUGGCAGUACUGCAUACACAAAGCAUAAAAGGGGCAAUUCAUUGGCAGAACUGUCAUUUGUAAUCAGAUGAUUCAUGUGAAAAGGUUUCCGAUGUGAUUAUGGCCCCACAGUGGGAAUUAUCAGGCUUUGGACGUGGAAUUAUAGUUGGAGCUAGAUGCAUGCGACAUUCCAUUUUGGAAAUCAUCAGAGUAUUCAAUAUUAAGAGAUCCACAGUGUCAAGAGCAUGCUGAGAAUAGCAGAUUUCAGGCACUACCUCUCAUCUUGGACAACACGCCGGAUGAUGACCUUCACUUAAAGACCAAGAGGAGGGGAAUUUGCAUAAAGUUAUUGGUGCUAACAGAGAACACUACUUGACUACCAGUGCAAUUGCCUUUGCUAACAGCAUAACGUCACCUGCAACACCUCACCUGGGUUCGUGACCAUAUCGGUUGGAUCCUAGACUACUGGAAAACUGUGGCCUAGUCAGAUGAGGCCUGAUUUCACUCUGUAAGAGCCGAUAGUAGGGUUUGAGUGCAGCACAGACCCCACAAAUCCAUGGACACAGGUUGCUACCAUUCCAUUCUGGUGGUAGCUCGAUAAUGGUGUGAGCUGUGUUUAACGGAAUGGACUGGAUCCUCUGGUCCAUCUGAACAGAUCAUUGACACUACUUCGAGACCAUUUGCAGCCAUAUAGAUGACGAAGUGCUGUGUCACCACCCACAGUUGUCCAUGAUUGAUUUGAAGAAUAUUCUGGACAAUUCAAGUGAAUGAUUUGGCACCCAUAUCAGCCAACCUAAAUCCAAUCAAACAUUUAUGGGACAUAAUCAAGAGGUCACUUCCUGCGCAAAAUCCUGCACUGGCAACCCUUUCACAAUUAUGAACGGCUAUAUGAGGCAGCAUGGAUCAAUAUUUGUGCAGGGUACUUCCAACGACUUGUUGAGUCCAUGCCAUAUUGAGUUGCUGCAAUAUGCUGGGCAAAAGGAGGUCCAACACAAUAUUAUCAGGUAUCCCAUCCCACAACUUUUGUCACCUCAUUUUACGUAGAUUUAUAAGCUCUAACCAAACAUUGCUACAGUUAACAACUGGAAAGAAAAGUGGGAACAUCUUUCAGGUAGAAAUGGGGAUUGCCUAAACAAAAUUGAUUUUGUGAUUUAUAUUUGUUUAUUCUUUU